rnacentral:rRNA from 1 species
GAUAAACGCUGGCGGCGUGCCUAACACAUGCAAGUCGAACGAUCCCGCAAGGGAGAGUGGCGGAAGGGUGAGUAACACGUGGGAAUCUACCUCCUCGCAGGGAACAACCUCUCGAAAGAGAGGCUAAUACCCAAAAGGGUCAGAAAUGAUCAGAGUCGAAAGGCGUGAGGAGAGGAGCCCGCGGCCCAUCAGCUAGUUGGUGAGGUAAUGGCUUACCAAGGCUACGACGGGUAGGGGAUCUGAGAGGAUGUCCCCCAUACUGGAACUGAAACACGGUCCAGACGCCUACGGGUGGCAGCAGUGAGGAAUAUUGGACAAUGGGCGAAAGCCCGAUCCAGCAACGCCGCGUGGAGGAUGAAGGCCUUCGGGUCGUAAACUUCUUUAGAGGGAGACGAGAAAGGACGGUAUCCCUAGAAUAAGCGACGGCAAACUACGUGCCAGCAGCCGCGGUAAU